GUACACGGUGGAUGCCCUGGCAGUCAGAGGCGAUGAAGGACGUGCUAAUCUGCGAUAAGCGUCGGUAAGGUGAUAUGAACCGUUAUAACCGGCGAUUUCCGAAUGGGGAAACCCAGUGUGAUUCGUCACACUAUCAUUAACUGAAUCCAUAGGUUAAUGAGGCGAACCGGGGGAACUGAAACAUCUAAGUACCCCGAGGAAAAGAAAUCAACCGAGAUUCCCCCAGUAGCGGCGAGCGAACGGGGAGCAGCCC
rnacentral:rRNA from 1 species